GACGUAGGGCGCGAGCGUUGUCCGGAUUUAUUGGGCGUAAAGAGCUCGUAGGCGGCUUGUUGCGUCGACUGUGAAAACCUGCGGCUCAACCGUGUGGUCUGCAGUCGAUACGGGCAGGCUGGAGUUCGGUAGGGGAGACUGGAAUUCCGCGUGUAGCAGUGAAAUGCGUAGAGAUGCGGAGGAACACCGAUGGCGAAGGCAGCCCCCUGGGCCAAUACUGACGCUCGAGGCACGAAAGCGUGGGGAGCAAACAGG
rnacentral:rRNA from 1 species